rnacentral:rRNA from 1 species
UACGUAGGGUGCAAGCGUUAAUCGGAAUUACUGGGCGUAAAGCGUGCGCAGGCGGUUUGUAAGUCUGUCGUGAAAUCCCCGGGCUCAACCUGGGAAUUGCGAUGGAGACUGCAAGGCUAGAAUCUGGCAGAGGGGGGUAGAAUUCCACGUGUAGCAGUGAAAUGCGUAGAGAUGUGGAGGAACACCGAUGGCGAAGGCAGCCCCCUGGGCUAACACUGACGCUCAUGCACGAAAGGCGUGGGGAGCAAACAGG